rnacentral:rRNA from 1 species
UACAGAGGUCUCAAGCGUUGUUCGGAUUCAUUGGGCGUAAAGGGUGCGUAGGCGGCGCGGUAAGUCGGGGUGUGAAAUUUCGAGGCUUAACUUCGAAACUGCAUUCGAUACUGCCGUGCUUGAGGACUGGAGAGGAGACUGGAAAUUUACGGUGUAGCGGUGAAAUGCGUAGAUAUCGUAAGGAAGACCAGUGGCGAAGGCGGGUCUCUGGACAGUUCCUGACGCUGAGGCACGAAGGCCAGGGGAGCAAACGGG